AGUGAACGCUGGCGGUAGGCCUAACACAUGCAAGUCGAACGGCAGCACAGUAAGAGCUUGCUCUUACGGGUGGCGAGUGGCGGACGGGUGAGGAAUACAUCGGAAUCUACUUUUUCGUGGGGGAUAACGUAGGGAAACUUACGCUAAUACCGCAUACGACCUACGGGUGAAAGCAGGGGAUCUUCGGACCUUGCGCGAUUGAAUGAGCCGAUGUCGGAUUAGUUAGUUGGCGGGGUAAAGGCCCACCAAGGCGACGAACCGUAGCUGGUCUGAGAGGAUGAUCAGCCACACUGGAACUGAGACACGGUCCAGACUCCUACGGGAGGCAGCAGUGGGGAAUAUUGGACAAUGGGCGCAAGCCUGAUCCAGCCAUGCCGCGUGGGUGAAGAAGGCCUUCGGGUUGUAAAGCCCUUUUGUUGGGGAAGAAAAGCAGCAGGUUAAUACCCCGCUGUUCUGACGGUACCCAAAGAAUAAGCACCGGCUAACUUCGUG
rnacentral:rRNA from 1 species